rnacentral:lncRNA from 1 species
UGGAAUUAUUCUAUGUUUAGAUUCCAUUUUAUCUAAAGCUACUUUUAAAUACAAUAACUUGCAAAAACAAAUAUGGCAACACUAAAGGACAAAACCACAGAUAAUUUUUUUCAGGAUAAAGCCUUUACUUUUUAAUCAUACUAAAUUUUUUGGAAUCUUUACAAAAGAAACCAUUGUCAUUUAAUUCGUUAUGAAUUUCUUAUUCCAUGGUAAGUGAAGGCCAAAAAUGAUUCAGAGUUAAAAGUUCCUCAAAAAUAAUGCAUAAUAUGACUAAAAAUUUAAAUGAAUGCUUGAAAUAAGCUU